rnacentral:lncRNA from 1 species
AGCGUGGAGCACACGAGGAGGAAUGGUAAUCUAUCUUUAUAGUGACAUGUUGGAACCUUUGGAAGUGGAGGAACAAAUCUAUCUUUGAGGAUGACCAUCAUCGGCCUAUUGAUCUUAUUCGUAUCAUUCUUCAACUUGUCCAAGCCAUUGGUAAGGGCGAACAUCUCCACCUGCCACAAGUGUCACAAAUUGUUGACACUAUUGAUGUA